rnacentral:rRNA from 1 species
AGUAGACCCGAAGCCAAGUGAUCUAUCCAUGUCCAGGCUGAAGCUCGGGUAAGACCGAGUGGAGGGCCGAACGGUAAUCUGAUGAAAAAGGUACUGAUGAGGUGUGGAUAGGAGUGAAAGGCUAAUCAAACUUGGAAAUAGCUGGUUCUCCCCGAAAUAGCUUUAGGGUUAGCCUUGCGUUAAGUGUGGCGGAGGUAGAGCACUGGAUGGACUAGGGCCUUUCACGAGGUACCAAACCCAACCAAACUCCGAAUACCGCUACAUGUUUCGCAGGAGUGAGACAGUGGGUGAUAAGAUUCAUUGUCGAAAGGGAAACAGCCCAGACCGUCAGCUAAGGUCCCAAAACAUAACUCAGUGGAAAAGGAAGUGUGAUUACCGAGACAGCCAGGAGGUUGGCUUAGAAGCAGCCAUUCCUUCAAAGAGUGCGUAACAGCUCACUGGUCGAGUAGUCAUGCGCCGAUAAUUCAACGGGGCUCAAGUUAUGUACCGAAGCUACGGAUGUAUUUCUUCAUUGAAAUACGUGGUAGGGGAGCAUUCUGUAUGCCGAUGAAGGUGUUGCGUGAGCGAUGCUGGAGGUAUCAGAAGGGAGAAUGCCGGUAUGAGUAUACGAAAAAACAGGUGAGAGUCCUGUUCGCCGAAAGCCUAAGGUUUCCUGGGUAAAGUAAAUCUGCCCAGGGUUAGUCGGCCCCUAAGAUGAGGCAGAAAUGCGUAGUCGAUGGGAAACUGGUUUAUAUUCCAGUACCUCUUUUAACUGCGAGGGGAUGACGCGUGAGGUGAAGCCCGGCCGGUUAUUGGUAUACCGGUCCAAGCAGCGAGUUUUUGAGGGAUGCAGGGAAAUCCGCAUUCUGAGGCGAGCUGUUAAGGCGAGUUUGUCUUCGGGCAAACGAAGCGGGUGUAAUCAUGGCGCCGAGAAAUAAUCUCUAAGCUUCAGGUUAAGAGGGACCGUACCGCAGACCGACACAGGUAGGCGAGAUGAGUAUUCUAAGGCGCACGAGAGAACCCGCGUUAAGGAACUCGGCAAAAUGCACACGUAACUUCGGGAGAAGUGUGGCCCUUGCUGGGAGUUAAAUCUUAUUGGGGGUUGCAGAGAAAUGGCCCAAACGACUGUUUACCAAAAACACAGGUCUCUGCGAAUCUGUAAAGAGACGUAUAGGGACUGACACCUGCCCGGUGCCGGAAGGUCAAGAGGAGGGGUUAGCCAGCACCAGACACAUUCUGAAACUUGAGUGUCUCUGGUGCUGGCGAAGCUCUGAAUUUAAGCCCCGGUAAACGGCGGCCGUAACUAUAACGGUCCUAAGGUAGCGAAAUUCCUUGUCGGGUAAGUUCCGACCUGCACGAAUGGUGUAACGAGUUGGGCGCUGUCUCAACGCGGGACUCGGUGAAAUUGAAGUAUCGGUGAAGAUGCCGAUUACCCAUGGUUAGACGGAAAGACCCCGUGAACCUUUACUGUAGCUUGACAUUGGGACUUGAGUUUUCAUGUGUAGCAUAGGUGGGACGCUAUGAAGCGGGAGCGUUAGCUUCUGUGGAGCGGUCAGUGAAAUACCACCCUUGGUAAUUUAGGUUUCUCACCAAUAUCGUGAAAGCCGGUAUUGGGACAGUGUCAGGUGGGCGGUUUGACUGGGGCGGUCGCCUCCUAAAGAGUAACGGAGGUGUGCGAAGGUUCCCUCGCGCUGGAUGGAAAUCAGCGUACGAGUGCAAAGGCAAAAGGGAGCCUGACUGCGAGACUAACAAGUCGAGCAGGCGCGAAAGCGGGUCUUAGUGAUCUGGCGGUGGCACAUGGAAGCGCCGUCACUUAACGGACAAAAGGUACUCCGGGGAUAACAGGCUUAUUUUGCCCAAGAGUUCACAUCGACGGCAAAGUUUGGCACCUCGAUGUCGGCUCAUCGCAUCCUGGGGCUGGAGCAGGUCCCAAGGGUUUGGCUGUUCGCCAAUUAAAGCGGUACGUGAGCUGGGUUCAGAACGUCGCGAGACAGUUCGGUCCCUAUCUGCCAUGGGCGUUGGUUGUUUGAGAGGAGCUGCUUUUAGUACGAGAGGACCGAAGUGGACGAACCUCUGGUGUACCAGUUAUCCUGCCAAGGGUAAGUGCUGGGUAGCUAAGUUCGGAUGGGAUAACCGCUGAAAGCAUCUAAGUGGGAAGCCCACCUCGAGAUGAGACAACCCUUGACCUUUAGGUCACUGUAGGUACCAGGAAGACUACCUGGUUGAUAGGUUGGAAGUGUAAGUGCAGUAAUGCAUUCAGCUGACCAAUACUAAUUUACCGUGAGGCUUGACCAUAU